GUAUUGCAUGAAAGGAGAGAAGAUCAGCACUCCCCUUAGAAAGGAUGGAAGAGGCCUUUGUGGUCCAUAGAAAAUGCAGGCACUGCCACCUACUUUGUGGCAUCUAACUAUGUUU